rnacentral:rRNA from 1 species
UUCCCAGGCCAAUUUUGAUUUAGGGUAGUAACUAGCUAUGUCCUUCAAACCCAAAGGAUUUGGCGGUGCUUAAUCUCACCAGAGGAAACUGUCGUGUAAUCGUCAUUACGCGCUAUAUCUCGCCCGAGCUUCGCUUGUAUACCGUCGUCUUUACACUGUUGUUAGAUAAAUGUACGAGCAGGUCACUCAAAUGACAGAUCAAGGUGCAGCGGUACCCGGGAACGGAUGGUUUACACUAGGAAAACCUGUGGACUUUGGUUAAAAUUCCAAAUGAAAAUGGAUUUGGCAGUAAUUCAGGAAAGAGUUCCCGGAUGAACGCGGCCUUAAGCUUAC